rnacentral:rRNA from 1 species
AUUGAACGCUGGCGGCAGGCCUAACACAUGCAAGUCGAGCGGAUGAAGGGAGCUUGCUCCUGGAUUCAGCGGCGGACGGGUGAGUAAUGCCUAGGAAUCUGCCUGGUAGUGGGGGAUAACGUCCGGAAACGGGCGCUAAUACCGCAUACGUCCUGAGGGAGAAAGUGGGGGAUCUUCGGACCUCACGCUAUCAGAUGAGCCUAGGUCGGAUUAGCUAGUUGGUGGGGUAAAGGCCUACCAAGGCGGCGAUCCGUAACUGGUCUGAGAGGAUGAUCAGUCACACUGGAACUGAGACACGGUCCAGACUCCUACGGGAGGCAGCAGUGGGGAAUAUUGGACGAUGGGCGAAAGCCUGAUCCAGCCAUGCCGCGUGUGUGAAGAAGGUCUUCGGAUUGUAAAGCACUUUAAGUUGGGAGGAAGGGCAGUAAGUUAAUACCUUGCUGUUUUGACGUUACCAACAGAAUAAGCACCGGCUAACUUCGUG